UUCAGAUAAGAUUACACUAUAAUCAUGAAUAAUGACUUUAAUAAUUAUUAAACAAUGAAAGUUUCAUUGAUACGGAGACAAAUUGGAAAGAAAUACAAGGAUCUCGUCUAAAUCUUGGUAAUGGAAAGUAUUAUUCGAUACUGCUGCCACCAACUUGAGAUUAUCCUGAAUAACACCUUUUUGGACUACGUCGUUAGCCUUCCACGAAUGGAUACGAAAGUCUUUGCUUCGCGUAAACUUCAAGAAAUCUAUAACCAAGCCAGGGCUUUGCCAAGGUCACUUUGCAAUAACUAACUCCGUAUCUUUGAAAGAUAUUCCCACUAUUAGGAAUUUCUUCAGCGUCCCCAACUAACAGUUUAGAGCAGAGACCAGAAAGCAGAAGCGAAGAAAGGAAUAUGUUAGUUAAAGUAAGAUUUUGCAAUCUAUGAAAACGAAAUACAAGGCGUAUGUUGCCAGUUCGGAAUUGACAAUGUUUUCCAUGUGACAUCAUGAAGUUCUAUUGGAUUAUGGUUAUGACAACAUCCUUGGCCAAGAGAACGCCAUAUCAACGAGUAGGAAAACAAUUGAGUGGAAUUUGGAAUCCAAUUAUCGAAUUAGAAAUAUGUACAACACUAUCAUCUGUUGAGACGCUCAAAUAAGAUCAAUGCACGUCAACUCCGAUCGGUACCAUUGACUCUUAUUACAAAAAUCUAUAAUAUUUUACUGCAUGUGUUCAUUAGGAUAUGGUAUUUAUUAUCACCAUCUUCAUCCAAAGAUGAAAUCGAUCUUUUUUGAAAAAAAAAAGCAAACACUCUAAGCGGUUUCAGACCGAUCACUGUAUUAUUGAUCAUAAUAAGAAGCCUGCUUCGCAAAUUCCUGCUUCGCGACUAACAGCAAGCUGUCGCAGAUUAUAACUGAUGAAAUACGCCUUUUAUUCAUUGCGAGAAGCUCGACAAGGAUAUUCAAAGUUAUUUUCUUUCUUCAAUUUUAUGCACCAUUUGCUCCAGCAAUUUCCAGAAGAUAUUGGCACAAGGGUCGGCGAUCAAACUAUUAACGACAUUGCUUUCGUCUGUUCACCUCGAUUAAAAACGGUGGCUCAAGCCACAACAUACUUACAUCAAUGCGGACUUGAAAUCGACCCAGUUAAAAGGCACACUAUAGGAAUUAUGGUCUACUCUAAAUUAUGGUAUAAGAAAAAGAAGAAAACCGCCAUAUCUACAUUGAUCGCCAAUCAAUACCAAGUUUACAUUUAGAUUGUUCCCAACUGUCAGCUAGGAGGAAAAGUAGAUAUACCUUGGCGACAGGAAAAAUAAACAGAAACCAAGAUUCAUCAUGGAAUGAAGCAUUAGUUCUGAAGCCUCAACAAAAACUGCUGUGGUACACAAUCGUUUUUCAACUUUACCACCAGUUUACUCUGGAGAAUAUGAUCAUCAGCGAACUGAAUAAGCUCAGUCAAGCGCAAAGACUUUUUCUUCUAUCAACGUAUGUUCUAUCAACAUACUUCCACAUUGCCGUAGAGGAUCGUAGAC